GGAAUAAUGGUGGUCUUUAUGGUGAAAAGGGCAUUGUCACUGGAAGAAAAUGUCCCAAGGGCUUCUAUGGCACUUACUGCAGGGAAUGCCCCAUUGGCACAUAUAAAGAUACUGAUGGCUUAGAUGACAAUCUUUGUGUUCCUUGUUCACUUGAUCUUCUUCCUAGUCGUGCUGAGUUCAUAUAUAUAUGCGAGGUAGCUUUACAUAUCCUAUUUACUUCUUUGUAGAAUUUUUGGUUCCUAUAAGUGUAUAUCUGACAUGUGUGAACUCUUUCUCUCUCUCCCGUUCUUUCGAUUUUGUUUGGGUAAUUUGAUUUGUAUUGUUGAUUUCAGUGGUAGAGGGAUUUGAUUCAAUGGCUCUCACUUCACGACCAUCAUGGGUACCUGCAAAGCUAUUCUUAUUGUAUUCUCCGUUGAUGUCGCAUUAGAGUUUUAAGGUCUAUGCUACUUUAUUCACUCCAAUCGCGCUAUGGAUUUCGUGGAUGACCAAGUGUAUAUGAUCGACUCCUAA